GUGGCGUUCGACUGUACGAGAGUUGCGGCUGGGCUCAUAGCUGGAAACGUGACAGAGAGACGACCGGCCCCGCCUAGCAACACUUAUUGCUUCAGGAGCGUCUUCAACUCCAAGGUCGCCUUCCCCGAACUACUGGUCAUCCUAAUGGGCGGACCACGAUGGCGAGGUCUGAAAUUCGCAACAGGGAAUGCGCGUGCACUGUUGGAAAGAAGGGAACGCUCAGUACGGGUGAUGACGUCACCUACCUCUUCACAACCUGAAAGUUGCCAAGGCAUGCCAGUGCCUACAGAAACUACUGACGAUACAUCGCGUUUACUCCCAACGUGCACAUUUCCCAUGUGAAGUGCGUAUACGAGUGACGUUAUUUUAUAAUAUCACAUAAAAAUAACUACAAUA